rnacentral:rRNA from 1 species
UAGCGGCAGGCUUAAUACAUGCAAGUCGAGGGGCAGCACGGUUAGCAAUAACUGGUGGCGACCGGCGCACGGGUGCGUAACACGUAUACAAUCUACCUUAAACAGGGGGAUAGCCUUUCGAAAGAGAGAUUAAUACCCCGUAAUAAAUUGAACGGCAUCGUUUGAUUUGAAAGCUCCGGCGGUUUGAGAUGAGUAUGCGUCUGAUUAGCUAGUUGGUGAGGUAACGGCUCACCAAGGCGACGAUCAGUAGGGGACCUGAGAGGACUAACCCCCACACUGGUACUGAGACACGGACCAGACUCCUACGGGAGGCAGCAGUAAGGAAUAUUGGUCAAUGGAGGCAACUCUGAACCAGCCAUGCCGCGUGCAGGAUGACGGCCCUAUGGGUUGUAAACUGCUUUUAUACAAGAGAAAACCCUGGUACGUGUACCAAGUUGAUAGUAUUGUAAGAAUAAGCAUCGGCUAACUUCGUG